rnacentral:snRNA from 1 species
UGAGCCGUCACACGGAAU